rnacentral:rRNA from 1 species
UACGUAGGGGGCAAGCGUUGUCCGGAAUCAUUGGGCGUAAAGCGCGUGUAGGCGGCCCGAUAAGUCCGCUGUGAAAGUCCAGGGCUCAACCCUGGAAUGCCGGUGGAAACUGUCGAGCUAGAGUCCGGAAGAGGCGAGUGGAAUUCCUGGUGUAGCGGUGAAAUGCGCAGAUAUCAGGAGGAACACCAAUGGCGAAGGCAGCUCGCUGGGACGGUACUGACGCUGAGACGCGAAAGCGUGGGGAGCAAACAGG